rnacentral:rRNA from 1 species
GAGUUUGAUCAUGGCUCAGAACGAACGCUGGCGGCAGGCCUAACACAUGCAAGUCGAGCGCGCCUUUCGGGGUGAGCGGCGGACGGGUUAGUAACGCGUGGGAAUAUGCCCUUUGGUACGGAAUAGCCUCUGGAAACGGAGAGUAAUACCGUAUGAGCCCUUCGGGGGAAAGAUUUAUCGCCAAAGGAUUAGCCCGCGUUAGAUUAGGUAGUUGGUGGGGUAAUGGCCUACCAAGCCUACGAUCUAUAGCUGGUUUUAGAGGAUGAUCAGCAACACUGGGACUGAGACACGGCCCAGACUCCUACGGGAGGCAGCAGUGGGGAAUCUUGGACAAUGGGGGCAACCCUGAUCCAGCCAUGCCGCGUGAGUGAUGAAGGUCCUAGGGUCGUAAAGCUCUUUCGCCUGUGAAGAUAAUGACGGUAGCAGGUAAAGAAACCCCGGCUAACUCCGUGCCAGCAGCCGCGGUAAUACGGAGGGGGUUAGCGUUGUUCGGAAUUACUGGGCGUAAAGCGCACGUAGGCGGAUCGGAAAGUUGGGGGUGAAAUCCCGGGGCUCAACCCCGGAACUGCCUCCAAAACUAUCGGUCUAG